ensembl:lncRNA
GUUAGGCUACCCUACGUACGGGAAAGCCAUUUAGUUCCUACCUGUUCCACUGUUAAAUAGCGGCCCAAAUUGGUGGGCGCUAUCCUGGUGAUCUGCGUGAGAAAUACGGAAGUGUGGCGUGUGAGCGUGUGCAUGGGUUGAAUGAGGCUGGAUCCGAAUACUCGUACUUGACUGCUAUAUAGUAUGCAUUUUGUAGUACGCCACAAAUAUAGCGCGUCCGAAUGCUCAGUACGCAUUGUGUAGUACGGAAGUCGUCUACUACCGCCACAGUAAACAACGGAGUUCACUACGCUAUCCCACAAUACAACCGGAAUCUGGUAACGAACGAAGAAGAGAUGGCUGACCCGACACCACCAGAAAGAAGUCGUAGAAAGCGGCGAAAAAAAAGAGACAGUAAAGAGUAACAAAGUAAAGCCCCGCCCCCAAUCCCCGACCUAGAGGCCUUUGAAGAAGCCCUCGGCCUCCGUGGCCUCCCGGAACGUCACGGUCACGGCGUUGAUGGUCACCUGGGUGACGGUCACCUUCUCGUCGGGGGUCCCGGCGGCCACGUCCUCAUCUCCCGGGAGCGCCGGGGCGAGCAGCGCCGGGGCCCCGGACCCCCCCUCGGGGUCCUCGGGGCCCCCGGGGGGGGGUUCGACCCUCCGGGGGUCCAGGGGCCCGCUCCCCUGAAUGUUCACGAUCACCGACGCGCCGCUCCUCUGCCAGGCGGGGCCCGGUGGGGAGAGCCCCCCGCCCCCAACAGACCCCGCCCCCAACCCCCGCCCCGACAGACCCCGCCCCCACCCC